rnacentral:rRNA from 1 species
AUACAGGGGGUGCGAGCGUUAAUCGGAAUUACUGGGCGUAAAGAGUACGUAGGCGGUUGAUUAAGUCAGAUGUGAAAGCCCCGGGCUCAACCUGGGAACUGCAUUUGAAACUGAGUGACUAGAGUUUAAGAGAGGGGAGUAGAAUUCCGGGUGUAGCGGUGAAAUGCGUUGAGAUCCGGAGGAAUACCAGUGGCGAAGGCGGCUCCCUGGCUUAAAACUGACGCUGAGGUACGAAAGCGUGGGUAGCAAACAGGAUUAGAAACCCCAGUAGUCC